UCGACACCGAAGCCGUGGACUCGCAAUGCGAGUGGUAGAGGAGCAUUCUUAAAACCGACGAAGCUGUACCGAAAGGAGCAGUGGAGGGAUAAGAAGAGAGAAUGCCGGAAUGAGUAGCGAGAGAAAGGUGGGAAUCCUUUCGGCCGAAUAUCUAAGGUUUCCAGAGUAAAGCUGAUCUGCUCUGGGUAAGUCGGGGCCUAAGCACAGGUCGCAAGACGUAAGCGAUGGAUAACAGGUUUAGAUUCCUGUACCACGCAUUAUCAGAACUGUAGGGACGCAUGUGGAAAGCACGAGCCGGGAAUGGAAAGACCGGUACAAGCGGGGUAGGUGUACAACAGGCAAAUCCGUUGUAUAAUCCGAAGACGUGAUGUGGAGCGAAAUAAAGUAGUGAAGCGUGUGAGCCAUGUGCCGAGAAAAGCUGCUAUUGUGUAAUGCGUGCCCGUACCGUAAACCGACACAGGUGGAUGAGGAGAGAAUCCUAAGGCCGACGGAAGAAGCAUUGUUAAGGAAUUCGUCAAAAUGACCCCGUAACUUCGGGAGAAGGGGUGCCUGCGAGAGCAGGCCGCAGAGAAUAGGCUCAAGCAACUGUUUAGCAAAAACACAGGUCUAUGCGAAACCGAAAGGUGAAGUAUAUGGGCUGACGCCUGCCCGGUGCUGGAAGGUUAAGAGGAGAGGUUAGCGUAAGCGAAGCUUUGAAUUUAAGCCCCAGUAAACGGCGGCCGUAACUAUAACGGUCCUAAGGUAGCGAAAUUCCUUGUCGGGUAAGUUCCGACCCGCACGAAAGGCGUAAUGAUUUGGGCACUGUCUCGACAAUGCAUCCGGUGAAAUUGAAGUACCAGUGAAGAUGCUGGUUACCCGCGCCAGGACGGAAAGACCCCAUGGAGCUUUACUCCAGUUUGAUACUGGGAUUCGGUACUGCAUGUACAGGAUAGGUGGGAGACAAAGAAGGAUGGACGCCAGUCUGUCCGGAGUCGCUGUUGGGAUACCACCCCUGUAGUACUGGGUUUCUAACCAGUUGCCAUGAACUGGCAAUGGGACAAUGUCAGGCGGGGAGUUUGACUGGGGCGGUCGCCUCCGAAAGGGUAUCGGAGGCGCUCAAAGGUUCCCUCAGAAUGGUUGGAAACCAUUUGAAGAGUGCAAAGGCAGAAGGGAGCUUGACUGCGACACCGACGGGUGGAGCAGGUACGAAAGUAGGACUUAGUGAUCCGGUGGUAUAAAGUGGGAUUGCCAUCGCUCAACGGAUAAAAGCUACCCUGGGAUAACAGCUUAUCACUCCCAAGAGUUCACAUCGACGGAGUGGUUUGGCACCUCGAUGUCGGCUCAUCGCAUCCUGGGGCUGUAGCAGGUCCCAAGGGUUGGGCUGUUCGCCCAUUAAAGCGGUACGCGAGCUGGGUUCAGAACGUCGUGAGACAGUUCGGUCCCUAUCCGGCGCGGGCGGAGGAUAUUUGAGAGGAGCUGUCCUUAGUACGAGAGGACCGGGAUGGACGGACCACCG
rnacentral:rRNA from 1 species